AUCUUUCUUUUUCGUCUAGCCGCCGCCUUCGCCUUCUUAUAAUAGUUCCCAUCUCAAAUCAAUGAACCAGUUCCGAUCUCAACCCGUCUUCCUCUCCUAGUCCUGUCUCUUAAUUUUUUUAAGAACCAAUUCCGAUAUCUAGCAGUCUUCUUCUCCUAAUCCUAUCGUAGUUUUAGAUCUCUCAAAACUUUGAAUGAACCAGUUCCUUUCUCUAGUUGCCUUUUUCUCCUAAUCCUUUUGUAGUCUCCGAUCUCUCAUGAUUUUCAAUGACCCAGUUCCAAUCUCUAGCCGUAUUCUUCUCUAUAAACAUAGUUGUCGUAGUUUUCAAUGACCCAGUUCCAAUCUCUAGCCGUAUUCUGCUAAAGAAGUUUAUGUCUACGAUGGCGUAUAUAGAACUUGAAAAACCUAGUCCUAAUUAAGGAGGAGAAGAAACCGUCCUGGAAUGCAUGAUCCAGAUGCUGAGGUGAUUGCUUUGUUACCUGAAAUUCGGGUAGAAAUUCAGAAUUACCUAAAGAUUACAAACGGAUACAAAAUCUGAACUUUCACCGCCGGAGCUCCAGGAGACGUAGGGGAAGAGAUAACAGAAGUGAGAAGGCCAGAGAUCUCUUUAUAUAUAGAGAAAAUAACACCUCUUUGUGGGUGAGAGAGAAAUAAAAAGUGUAUAAAAUUAGGGUUUCAUUGUUGUUAUUUUUUAUUUCCAACUAAUUAUGUGUUUUGGUUGUGAUUUUGAACUUUAAUGAAACGUCCCUCCAAUAAUUUGGUUUGUUUCC